UGGGAAGUACGGCCGCAAGGCUAAAACUCAAAGGAAUAGACGGGGACUCGCACAAGCGGUGGAGCAUGAGGUUUAAUUCGACAUUAAGCGAGGAACCUUACCAGGGCUUGAAAUCCCGACGAACUCCAGCAGAAACGUUGGAGGUCCGCAAGGACGGCGGGACAGGUGCUGCACGGUUGUCGUCAGCUCGUGUCUUGAGAUGUUCCCUUAAGUGGGGUAACGAGCGCAACCCCUGUCGUGUGUUAUAUGUAUCACGCGAGACUGCCCAGCCCUAAGUUCAGAUUUUAGAAAUCAAAUAUCGGAUGUCGGAUUUAUAUCCAAUAUCCGAUGUCUGAAAUCCAAUAUCCGAUUUUAGGGCUGGGAGGAAGGUGGGGAUGACGUCAAAUCAGCGUGGCCCUUUGAUGCCCUGGGCUACACUCAUGCUACAAUGGCCGUUACAAUGGGUUGCCAAGCCGCAAGGCGGAGCUAAUCCCACAAAAACGGCCCCAGUUCGGAUUGCAGGCUGCAACUCGCCUGCAUGAAGCCGGAAUCGCUAGUAAUCGCGUAUCAGCAAUGGCGCGGUGAAUACGUUCUCGAGUCCUGUACUCACUGCCCGUCAAGUCAGGGGAGCCGGGAAUACCUAGAGCCCAGCCCAAAGUUCGAAGGACUUUGGGAAAUUACAAGCACCAAGAAAUAAUAACUAAAUAAUGAUUAAUUAUUUUAAUUUGUUUGGAAUUUAUAUCUUGUAAAUUUAGUGCUUGCCCAAAAACCUGCGGUUUUUGGGCUGGGUGAGGGUAGGUUCGGUGACACGGACUAAGUCGUAACAAGGCACGUGUAGCGGAAGCUGUGCGUG
rnacentral:ncRNA from 1 species